CUGGAAAGGGCGCCAGCGUUUAAACCUCCCGUCCUGUCUCCAUCGUCUCCCUAGCAGAGAGGACUUAGCUGCGCCUGCGCCAGCUCCUGUGACGGCCUCUCUAUUCAGUCGUUCAUUUAACGUUGUUGUUAAUUUGUCCAUUCAAAUACUAGCUGGUCGCCUGCUUUAGGUCUUGAUUUUUGGUUGGUGUGGGAAACCUUCGUGAGAAAAUCCCCAGAGAUGUUCGAAGUAGUAGUAAAGGAGACAAUUGUUAUCCGUUAGUUACUCAGAUGAAAGUUCACGAGAAUAAGUACACUAAGGGCCCUUUGGAAACGGAAGUGAGAUCCAUGUAGAGAAAGGACCUUUGGAAGAGCAAUCAGUGCUCUCAACCACUGAGCCGUCUCUCCAGCCCGGACUCCUCUCAUUUGCUUGCAAAUAAUCCAGGCUGCUUGUUAAAACUGACAUCCCGAUUCAGUGGAGGAAACAAUCAAGAAGCCUUCACUGCAGCUACGUUCACUUCGAGGAUUUCGUGUAAUUGGUGGUAAAAGUCGACCGACAUGGUAUCUCACCGUGAAGCCGUCACUCCACCAGGACCCUGUGGUAGCCCGAGAUCUACUUCCAGGUGGCAUUUUCAUGUCCAUUUCUACACACCCUCAUGGAGACUGAACAAUGCUGCUGGUUCAAGGUGCACGGCAGAGCCAGGAUCCAGACUUCUCCAUUGGACUUACAGCAGCUCUCCCUCCUCUCCAUCUUAAGUGGUCUGACCCAAGUUUGCUUUCAACAUAGUGUUCUUUGAUUCUGUGCCAAAAUAGCCAGCAAAUAUCACAUUCUGGUAAUUUCCUGAAGGUUCCGCUUUCUGUCACUAGCCCAUUAAAAAUGAACCUGUCUUCCUCAA